GUCAUCUUUUAUGAAUAAAUUAAAUUUAAAUUUUAGAUUUUAAAAGGUUCUUCACUUUUAUUUAAAAAUGGAGCCUCCAUUGGCAUAACCACUAAUCUCUAAUUGGAAGCAUUUGACAGCUCCUGACACACUUAGCAAAGGUCACAGACUUUCUGAGUGGUCACCACUGGGGAGUGCUGUAGCAUCUAGUGGGUGGAGGACGGGGAAGCCUUGAACGUCCCACAAAGCACAUCAGAGCCCCACAGCAAAGAACCACCCGGUCCAAAUGUAGUCACGACUAGAUGAGGGGACCCUACCUAGUCUGUGAGCCGCGAAUGACUCAGAAACCGCAGUAGAAGAAACGCAGUCUUAGAAAUGCAGGCCAGUGAGAAGUAGAACAGAGCAGCGGCUGGGCCGCAAACAGCUGGGGGAGGGGAGGAGCUAGCAGCCGCAGUCUUGCCCUGGGGAAGCCCUGGGGAAUCGGACUGCUCGUUUGCGAAGGGAUUAGGAGACAUGGGCAGAGAUCUGACUCUACCAGAUGGAGAGACUGGUCAGCCUGAUCCUUCAGGAAAUAGGGUCUCUCUCUUGGUCCUCUACUGACAGUUGACUGACAGCUCUUUAUUAUGCAAAAACCAACACUACUUCCUCGAAGUUGAGGUAGGGGUGGGGGUGGGGGUGGGGGUGUUUUCCUGACCUUUCCCCCACAACUUGCUGUUCGUUUUGGGCAGGUGAGGGAUCUACAAGCAUUGACAAGUCCUGCUUGCCUGGCCCCGCCCACCCAGCACUUAAACUUUGAGAACACAGGGACCCAUUUUCAUAGCCAGUUGAUCCAAAUGUGUGGGCUACCCCAACAGUCUCAGUUUCCCCCAGCACUCUUCCAGGGAUGACACCUCUGUCUCUGCGACAGAACGGAAGACAAUAGCAGAACUGCCCGGGCGUAAAGACACACUUGGAGCUGCUAGAAGUGAGCCAUAUGCAACAGAGGAUGCCACUGCUUUUCCCACAACAUAAAAAGGAGAGGCUAGAAGUUCAGCCAUGGGAAGCCAUCCAAGGAGAGAAAGUUCAGCUUUCCCAAUCAUGUUUUCCUUGGAAUUAGUAUGUGAGACCACAGGGAGGAAGGACGGAAAAUCCAAGUGGUAUGAAGGUUUCCCAAGACUGGCAGGAGAAGCUUGGGAAGUUGACUAUACAUGUACAGAUAAUCUUAAUUUAUUACACUGCGCCACAUACAUACUUUGAAUCAAAUUCUUGUUAAAAAUAGAAGCUGAAAAGGAGAUAAAUGUGAAAAUAAAUAUAUUUUUGUUAAAGAGGGUAAAAAUAAAAAUAUCUGUUAUAAUGGUGGAUUUUGUAUAAUAAGAUUUUUGUGCUAAAAAU